CCGCCCCUGGGCCCAGCGACCGCUGGGAAACGUAGUCCCUGACCCAGCCCUGCCCUGCCCUAUCUUGUUCUGUCCAGUCCCUUCGAGGCCGGUCCAAAGAACACAGCUUUCUAGAGGACACCAGCCGGAUCAUCCAUGAGGUAAUUUGCGAACGCUUUGCCUGCUUCAGGCGGCGCGAGACCCGGCCGUAGGUACUGGGCUCCUGAAGAGGCGGAGAGAUUUCCGGGACCCCCAGCUCUCCAUAAUCCCCGCUUUGCUACAACCAGUCCGAGCGGACGCUGACGGCCAAGAGCCGAGCUCGGGGAGCACCGUCGGCUUCCCGGACACGCCAACUCCAGUAGUCGACUACAAGUCCCAGGCGCCUCGGCAGAUGCCCUGGCCCUUGCCAGCUUCCAGACAUGCAAAAGAGCUUUGGGCUGGUGACUCGCGGGCUCGGAGUUGAUUUGCUCUGGGCAGUCGGGGUUAUUUGCCUAAGAAAUGAACGUUUGCUAAACAAAACAAAACAAAAAAGUUUGCGCUCUUGGAGCUCUCGGGAGAAAGAGGCUUUAAUCCAAGGCUGGGGGUGGGGAGGGAAUACAUUGUAAUUCCUCGCUUCGUUUUACCUUUAAUUCUGAUAUUUGGGUGCUAUGAGAGCCUGUACCCGGGAAAAUAGGGUUGAGAGAAAGAAAUCGUGGAGAGGCGUUUGGGAUAAAGUAGCCACCUUGGUAGACACCGGCGAGGGCGGAGAUUGGGGGAGGGAAGGAGGUGGGAAGGGAGUUCGGGAUAAGGGGAGAUAUGGAUCGCCAAGAAACUGAGGAAAAUAAGAGGCACAGGCACCUUCUCUAUUUUUUCAAAUUCCCUCCCCCACCCCACCCCCCUUCCCCAGACCGAGGGGGAAAUCUGGACUGAAAGUAAGAGAAUCUGACUUUCUUCAAUGAUGUUGGGCUGAGGAGGUACAUAGGAAGUGAUUUGCUCAAAUUCACACAUAACAGGAAGGGACAGACAAGGAACCAACCCAGUACACCUAUUAGGUAUAGUAUAUGCCUGGCUCUUGUAUUUUUAAUAUAAUCACACAUUGUCAGAGUUGGAGGAAAACUUAUAGAUCAAGGCCAUGAAAUAUAAAGAAUUCUUAUUAAAAGAAAAAAAAAGGAAUCCUUGAACUUGAAGACAUGGGACUUUAUGGAACUUCUUCAGUACAUUUUACGGAUGAGGAAACUGAGGUGAACAGGGUUAAAUGACUUGCCAGAAUCACAAGUGUCUGUGGCAACAUUUGAAUCCAGAAAAUAAAACUUUCUAACUCUA